UAACACAUGCAAGUCGAGCGGGGAUUGGGUGCUUGCACCUAAUCUUAGCGGCGGACGGGUGAGUAAUGCUUAGGAAUCUGCCAUUUAGUGGGGGACAACAUUCCGAAAGGGAUGCUAAUACCGCAUACGUCCUACGGGAGAAAGCAGGGGAUCUUCGGACCUUGCGCUAAAUGAUGAGCCUAAGUCGGAUUAGCUAGUUGGUGGGGUAAAGGCCUACCAAGGCGACGAUCUGUAGCGGGUCUGAGAGGAUGAUCCGCCACACUGGGACUGAGACACGGCCCAGACUCCUACGGGAGGCAGCAGUGGGGAAUAUUGGACAAUGGGCGCAAGCCUGAUCCAGCCAUGCCGCGUGUGUGAAGAAGGCCUUUUGGUUGUAAAGCACUUUAAGCGAGGAGGAGGCUACCUGGAUUAAUACUCUAGGAUAGUGGACGUUACUCGCAGAAUAAGCACCGGCUAACUCUGUGCCAGCAGCCGCGGUAAUACAGAGGGUGCGAGCGUUAAUCGGAUUUACUGGGCGUAAAGCGUGCGUAGGCGGCUGAUUAAGUCGGAUGUGAAAUCCCUGAGCUUAACUUAGGAAUUGCAUUCGAUACUGGUCAGCUAGAGUAUGGGAGAGGUGGUAGAAUUCCAGGUGUAGCGGUGAAAUGCGUAGAGAUCUGGAGGAAUACCGAUGGCGAAGGCAGCCAUCUGGCCUAAUACUGACGCUGAGGUACGAAAGCAUGGGGAGCAAACAGGAUUAGAUACCCUGGUAGUCCAUGCCGUAAACGAUGUCUACUAGCCGUUGGGGCCUUUGAGGCUUUAGUGGCGCAGUUAACGCGAUAAGUAGGCCGCCUGGGGAGUACGGUCGCAAGACUAAAACUCAAAUGAAUUGACGGGGCCCGCACAAGCGGUGGAGCAUGUGGUUUAAUUCGAUGCAACGCGAAGAACCUUACCUGGCCUUGACAUAGUAGAAACUUUCCAGAGAUGGAUUGGUGCCUUCGGGAAUCUACAUACAGGUGCUGCAUGGCUGUCGUCAGCUCGUGUCGUGAGAUGUUGGGUUAAGUCCCGCAACGAGCGCAACCCUUUUCCUUACUUGCCAGCAUUUCGGAUGGGAACUUUAAGGAUACUGCCAGUGACAAACUGGAGGAAGGCGGGGACGACGUCAAGUCAUCAUGGCCCUUACGGCCAGGGCUACACACGUGCUACAAUGGUCGGUACAAAGGGUUGCUACCUAGCGAUAGGAUGCUAAUCUCAAAAAGCCGAUCGUAGUCCGGAUCGCAGUCUGCAACUCGACUGCGUGAAGUCGGAAUCGCUAGUAAUCGCGGAUCAGAAUGCCGCGGUGAAUACGUUCCCGGGCCUUGUACACACCGCCCGUCACACCAUGGGAGUUUGUUGCACCAGAAGUAGGUAGUCUAACCUUAGGGGGGACGCUUACCACGGUGUGGCCGAUGACUGGGGUG
rnacentral:rRNA from 1 species